UACGGAGGGUGCAAGCGUUGCUCGGAAUUAUUGGGCGUAAAGGGUAGGUAGGUGGUCUUAUUUGUCUGGGGUGAAAGCCUUGAGCUUAACUCAAGAAGUGCCCCAGAAACGGUAAGACUAGAGUCCUAGAGAGGGUCGUGGAAUUCCCGGUGUAGCGGUGAAAUGCGUAGAGAUCGGGAGGAACACCAGAGGCGAAAGCGGCGACCUGGACAGGUACUGACACUCAACUACGAAAGCGUGGGGAGCAAACAGG
rnacentral:rRNA from 1 species